rnacentral:rRNA from 1 species
AGAGUUUGAUCCUGGCUCAGGACGAACGCUGGCGGCGUGCUUAACACACGCAAGUCGAGCGAUGAAGCUCCUUCGGGAGUGGAUUAGCGGCGGACGGGUGAGUAACACGUGGGUAACCUGCCUCAUAGAGGGGAAUAGCCUUCCGAAAGGAAGAUUAAUACCGCAUAAGAUUGUAGUACCGCAUGGUAUAGCAAUUAAAGGAGCAAUCCGCUAUGAGAUGGACCCGCGUCGCAUUAGCUAGUUGGUGAGGUAACGGCUCACCAAGGCGACGAUGCGUAGCCGACCUGAGAGGGUGAUCGGCCACAUUGGGACUGAGACACGGCCCAGACUCCUACGGGAGGCAGCAGUGGGGAAUAUUGCACAAUGGGGGAAACCCUGAUGCAGCAACGCCGCGUGAGUGAUGACGGUCUUCGGAUUGUAAAACUCUGUCUUUGGGGACGAUAAUGACGGUACCCAAGGAGGAAGCCACGGCUAACUACGUGCCAGCAGCCGCGGUAAU